rnacentral:lncRNA from 1 species
CGCAGUUGAGCGAAAACCCUCAUAGCUGAGCUUCAAGUGUGGAAUGGCUGCAGGGAACAGACUGGUUCGGCCAUGAGGGACAGAAGCAUUAGGAGGCACUCCUAACGAACUAUCCGCCUACUAGCCACAAAGCCUCCAGUCCUGCUUUCCUCACUUCUAGAGAUAAUCUUGGAGAGAGAGAAAGAUCCUGUCUCAAGGACCAGCCCAACGCUCAAGGUAGGACCAGAAGAUGCACCAUCAGAAGAUACAGCACGGACAGCUGAUGACACAGCUGCAGCUCAUGAAUUUUUACCAUGGAAGUUGCGGUAGGCAGAAUUCUAAGAUGCCCUCACCAACCCCCAACCCCUUCCUAGCCCCUGGUGUACAUGAGUCUUCUCCCAGAUAUUCAAUCAAACACCCAUCUAGGAACUGCUGUGGCGGCAUUUUGCAGAUGUUACCCACAUACACCCACAUUACAUUACACCCACAUGUAAUUAAGUUUCUAGAUCAGUUGGUAUCAAGAUAUUGAGAUUAUAUGGGGACAGUGAGGGGAGUGGGGCGCUAUCCAAUCACAGGAACCCUUUAAGAGCAGACAGUUGUCUCCAUCUGGUUACCGAAGAGGAAGUCAGAAAUUUGAAGUACAUGAAGGAUUUGAUGUGCCCUUGCUGGCUUGAAGACAGAGGGGUGUAUGUGGCAAGGGAUGUGGGUGAUAUCUAGAUGUGGAGGGCAGCUCUCAGCUAACAGCUAGCAAUGAAGCCAGGACCUCAGUCCCACAACCAAAAGGAAUUGAAUUCUGCCAAGAACAAGAAUAACUUCGGAAGUGAAUUUGCCCCAGAGCCUCCAGACAAGAACUUCACCCGGCCAGUACCUUGAUUUCAGCCUUCCCCGAGCAGAGAACCCAGUCAUGCUGCGCAAGAAUUCUGACACACAGAACGGUGAGCUAAUAAGCAAGUGUAGCUUUAAGCCACUAAGUUUGUGGCAGCUCAUUAUGUAUGCAGCAAUGGAAAACAGAGGGAACAAUGAAACAGGAGGGCUCAGUUCCUCCCCACCCACACAAAACUGCAGACUAUUCAUGGAGAAGUAGGCACCUGUGAAGAAGCAUUUCUCCCCAUGCCCGGAUCUUCACUGAAACAUGGACUGAAAGAUUUUAAGGGAAACAUCUACCAAUUGCAACAUAUGGACCUUAUAUGGAUCCCGAUUCAAACAAACAAAGAAAAAAUUAUGAGAUAAUUGGAAAAUUUGAACUCUGGUUGAAAAUUAACAAUAAUUUCUUAACAUAAAAUAUUCAAAGUAAAGAAGCCCACUUUCGCUGCAGUCUGAUUUCGAUGACUGAAACGGCAGCCAGGCCACGCCUCGCUGGGAGCUCCUCUGAGCGCCUCCUCCUCGCCACGCAGGAGCUGUUCCACGUGCAAGAGCCUUUCCCUCCGCUCCUGUCAUUCCUCUCAAGGCUUCUUGGCAGAAUUCCUACUGCUCUUAUUUAAUAUCAUCUCUCUUUACUAUUUCUGAACUCCAUUUCAUGCUUUUUCUAGUUAUUCCCAAUAAAGAAGAAACUGGAAAUUCACAUAUGCUGAGACUGAAAAUCUUGUUGCUGAAAGGGCAUACAGAAAUAGCCCGAGGAGUAGAGCUCUUCCCAAGAAAAGCUACUGGGGAAGGAUUUCUGCCUCGUUUUUCUUUAAAAUAAGGUCAUUUAACAUAAGUCUGAGGAAAGCAUAGUGAGCCACAUUUCAUUUUACUGUUAAUUGCACUUGAGCUGAGAAACAGAAGUAAUAAAA